rnacentral:rRNA from 1 species
AGUGAACGCUGGCGGUAGGCCUAACACAUGCAAGUCGAACGGCAGCACAGUAAGAGCUUGCUCUUACGGGUGGCGAGUGGCGGACGGGUGAGGAAUACAUCGGAAUCUACUUUUUCGUGGGGGAUAACGUAGGGAAACUUACGCUAAUACCGCAUACGACCUACGGGUGAAAGCAGGGGAUCUUCGGACCUUGCGCGAUUGAAUGAGCCGAUGUCGGAUUAGCUAGUUGGCGGGGUAAAGGCCCACCAAGGCGACGAUCCGUAGCUGGUCUGAGAGGAUGAUCAGCCACACUGGAACUGAGACACGGUCCAGACUCCUACGGGAGGAAGCAGUGGGGAAUAUUGGACAAGGGGCGAAAGCCGGAUCCAGCCAUACCGCGUGGGUGAAGAAGGCCUUCGGGUUGUAAAGCCCUUUUGGUGGGAAAGAAAAGCAGCAGGUUAAUACCCCGCUGUUCUGACGGUACCCAAAGAAUAAGCACCGGCUAACUUCGUG